rnacentral:rRNA from 1 species
UACGAAGGGUGCAAGCGUUACUCGGAAUUACUGGGCGUAAAGCGUGCGUAGGUGGUUCGUUAAGUCUGAUGUGAAAGCCCUGGGCUUAACCUGGGAACUGCGUCUGAUACUGGAAGGCUUGAGUAUGGGAGAGGGAUGUAGAAUUCCAGGUGUAGCGGUGAAAUGCGUAGAUAUCUGGAGGAAUACCGGUGGCGAAGGCGGCAUCCUGGACCAUUACUGACGCUGAGGCGCGAAAGCUAGGGGAGCAAACGGG